AACAUGGGGGCUAUGAAGUUCACUCUGUAAUUUGGGCACUUGGAGUGAAUGGAGCUAGUAGUGCAACCGACCAUC
rnacentral:ncRNA from 1 species